UACGUAGGGGGCAAGCGUUGUCCGGAAUCAUUGGGCGUAAAGAGCGUGUAGGCGGCUCGGUAAGUCCGCUCUGAAAGCCCGGGGCUCAACCCCGGGAGGCGGGCGGAUACUGUCGGGCUAGAGUCCGGAAGAGGCGAGUGGAAUUCCUGGUGUAGCGGUGAAAUGCGCAGAUAUCAGGAGGAACACCUGUGGCGAAAGCGGCUCACUGGACCACAACUGACGCUGAGGCGCGAAAGCUAGGGGAGCAAACAGG
rnacentral:rRNA from 1 species